CAAGCUCGGAAACCCCGCGAAGCCCCUCCUUGACUCCGCCCCGCCACCAAGUAGGGCUGGAGCCACUUCCGGCCUUCUCCAGCCGCACGUGCCCCCGGAAGUAGCGUCAGUCUCAGGUCUUUGCGAGGGAAGUGGCUGCCGCGUGAAUGUCCGGUGGUGACCGGAGAAAGAAGUGCCCGCCGCCACCUGGACCCGCCACCGCCCGGCCCAUGGGCUGCUUCCGUGGGCCUUCGCGCCGUGAACUUACCGCUCCACGGCUCCCGGCCGCAGUUUCCGACUGAGAUCACAAGUAGGCAGAGGCAAGCAGAGAGAGAGAGAGAGAGGAGGAAGCAGGCUCCACGCCGAGCAAAGAGCCCAAUGCGGGACUGGAUCCCAGGCCCCCGAGAUCAUGACCUGAGCCAGAAUAGUGAAGUACUCGGCUGCAAAGUGGUACAGACCCAAAGUGGAAAGAAUCUCACAAAAGGAAAAGAGACGGUGGUGAGUAGAAGUAGAAGCCUUCAUGAAGCAGUGGGAUUUAAGUCUAAGAAAACAAU